GGGCCCGCCCAGUCCCCUCCCACUCACACACAUCUGCCUGGCUUUAGUUUGUCUGGGAGCAGUUUUUUUCCAACUCAGAAUCAGAGAAGUGGGUCUUUCUUAACACUCAAAAUUACAUUUUAUUGAACAGAAAAUUAUCUUAAAAAAAAAAAAAGAAUGGCGUGAAACAGGACUUAUUUUCAAAUAUAGGACAUAGCCAACUAGAAUGUCUGUUUUUCAGAAUAUAAAUGGUAGCCUAAUACAACAGAGGCCUAUGCUUGAACUUUGCAACGUUGGGACAUGUUGUCUUUAUUUUCGCAACGACAAUAUUUCUUCAAAACAUUUUUUUGAAAAUGUAUGUUUUAGUAAGCUUGUAUGCACAACCACCGUGAUAUAUAAAACUGGUUUUCCACUUGUCAGAUACAGCAGGCCAACCUCACCAUAGCACAUUUCACUGACUUUGACUUAUUAAAGUAUGAAGUAUAUUUAAAAUGUUGCUUAAAAUACGCUUAUUUUAAAGAAAAUGUCUCUAUUCAAGACCACGCUGCUGAUUUCUUUAAAAGAUAGACAGGAACAUGGGCAGGAUGUUUAUACAGCAAAAUGUAAACAUUUUCCCUGGCCUUCUUUAAAUAAAAAAUCAAGCAAAAAGACUCUCUAGAUCAGCUCAUACUCAAUCUGAUGCAUUAUGUCCGUUUUAGACAGCUCCUUGUGUAUAUGGAUAGGACUUUUCAACGUAAAUGCAGAAAGGGAUUCAAUCAUGAAUAAUUAUUAUGUUCACACAGUAGAACUGAGGGUAAGAGCGCCCUGAGCCUAGCCGAAUACUGUGCACUGAAACUCGGAUGAGGACUUCAGAUCGACGCCCACCAAACUCUCUCCCCUCAGAAUGGUGCUCGAAUCAAGCCCUCUGUGAUGGAUGAGAGAGAGAAGGUUUUCCAGUGAUGGCAACAGUUCCUAUGACGACCAGACCUCCACCGGGGGAUUGCGCCUGUCAGACAGUGCUAAUGAUAAUUGAGAGGCUGGAGUGGGCAGGCGUGUGGGUUUGGCCACAGGAAGCCGUGAAUUCCUUGAAGAACAGAGAGUGUCAGGGCCCAGAACGCAACUUGGGGGGGGGGCUUACUGUACCUUGUAACGUCUCAUAAUCCUCCUAGUUGACCCCUGACCCCGGCCUGUGUUUGUAUCAGGUCAUCAACGUGAGGAAUUGUAAUGAGUCACUCCAGCAGUGUGUUUACCUUCUGGAGUCACGCAAGGAAGGAAAUAAGGCACGGUCUUCUAAAAGUGUCAAAGUGAGAGAGAAUAGCAGCAGUAUUAGAGCAGAGCCCUGAUUCAUCUCACUGUGACUGACCUCUUGAACCGUUACACUGGGUUUAUUUAACCUAUUCACUACUGUAGGGAGACUAGCUACAGAUCAGCCAAAACAGGGAGUAAGUCUACAAUACUGUAUGAAAACACAAGGUAUGAGAUUAAUAGUGUAAUUCUGUAAUUGAAGUCUGAUUCGUACCCCAACUCAUUGAGUGAAAUGAUCCGUGUACUGCAGUAUGUGGAUACAACUUAUUUUUGCUAUCACUGUGUAAUAUGUUGCUAAUAGACCAAACAUGUAUUAUUUUUGUCAUAAUUCUCUGUUGUGUGUUGCAGUCAUUUUUUUAUUUUUUUUGCUAUGCCCAAUGAAAUUUGGAGAGAUUUAGUAUUUUCCUUUGUCUCAUGCAACAAUCAUAAAUUAUGUGUAUGUGAUUUUUCUGUUUAAUAAUAAUUUAUUGCAAUAUAUUUCUGACUCCAAGAUAUAGAUUAUAUAUGGAAGAUCCCUUGUAAUACACUUUGAAGGAGAAAUCUGCACUCCCAAAUACAUCGUUUUUAAAAUCUUGAACUUACAAUGAGCUCUUGAAACUGGAAUGAGUAUGGAACUGUGGCCAACGCCUGUGAUUAAAAUACAAUGUCCUGGCCUACCAUCACGCCUUCCACACCGUGGGCUUGUGUGAUUGCACAAUUGUUGUUUUUGAGCAAGUGCCCCUGUUAGUUUUACUCUGUAAAUAAAUAUGUGCUCCGAGCUGACAA